rnacentral:rRNA from 1 species
AGUGGCGGACGGGUGAGUAACGCGUGAGAAUCUGCCUUGGGGUCGGGGACAACCACUGGAAACGGUGGCUAAUACCGGAUAAGCCGAUUGGUGAAAGAUUUAUUGCCCGAAGAGGAGCUCGCGUCUGAUUAGCUAGUUGGUGAGGUAAGAGCUCACCAAGGCAGCGAUCAGUAGCUGGUCUGAGAGGACGAUCAGCCACACUGGGACUGAGACACGGCCCAGACUCCUACGGGAGGCAGCAGUGGGGAAUUUUCCGCAAUGGGCGAAAGCCUGACGGAGCAAGACCGCGUAAGGGAGGAAGGCUCUUGGGUUGUAAACCUCUUUUCUCAGGGAAGAAGCUCUGACGGUACCUGAGGAAUCAGCCUCGGCUAACUCCGUGCCAGCAGCCGCGGUAAUACGGAGGAGGCAAGCGUUAUCCGGAAUUAUUGGGCGUAAAGCGUCCGCAGGUGGCGAUUCAAGUCUGCUGUCAAAGCACGGGGCUUAACUCCGUAAAGGCAGUGGAAACUGAAUAGCUAGAGUGCCGUAGGGGUAGAGGGAAUUCCCUGUGUAGCGGUGAAAUGCGUAGAGAUCGGGAAGAACAUCGGUGGCGAAAGCGCUCUACUGGACGGCAACUGACACUCAGGGACGAAAGCUAGGGGAGCGAAUGGGAUUAGAUACCCC